rnacentral:tRNA from 1 species
GAGUGCGCAGCUUUGUGGCCUUAGUUUUGCAAAAACUAAUGAGGAGUGUUUAACUCCCGCACUUU